AAGUCGAACGGUAACAGGUCUUCGGAUGCUGACGAGUGGCGAACGGGUGAGUAAUACAUCGGAACGUGCCCGAGAGUGGGGGAUAACGGAGCGAAAGCUUUGCUAAUACCGCAUACGAUCUCAGGAUGAAAGCAGGGGACCGCAAGGCCUUGCGCUCACGGAGCGGCCGAUGGCAGAUUAGGUAGUUGGUGGGAUAAAAGCUUACCAAGCCGACGAUCUGUAGCUGGUCUGAGAGGACGACCAGCCACACUGGGACUGAGACACGGCCCAGACUCCUACGGGAGGCAGCAGUGGGGAAUUUUGGACAAUGGGCGCAAGCCUGAUCCAGCCAUGCCGCGUGCAGGAUGAAGGCCUUCGGGUUGUAAACUGCUUUUGUACGGAACGAAAAGACUCCUUCUAAUAAAGGGGGUCCAUGACGGUACCGUAAGAAUAAGCACCGGCUAACUACGUGCCAGCAGCCGCGGUAAUACGUAGGGUGCAAGCGUUAAUCGGAAUUACUGGGCGUAAAGCGUGCGCAGGCGGUUAUGUAAGACAGAUGUGAAAUCCCCGGGCUCAACCUGGGAACUGCAUUUGUGACUGCAUAGCUAGAGUACGGCAGAGGGGGAUGGAAUUCCGCGUGUAGCAGUGAAAUGCGUAGAUAUGCGGAGGAACACCGAUGGCGAAGGCAAUCCCCUGGGCCUGUACUGACGCUCA
rnacentral:rRNA from 1 species